rnacentral:rRNA from 1 species
ACCCUUUAAUGUUUGAUGUUCUAACGUGGACCCGUAAUCCGGGUUGCGGACAGUGUCUGGUGGGUAGUUUGACUGGGGCGGUCUCCUCCUAAAGAGUAACGGAGGAGCACGAAGGUUGGCUAAUCCUGGUCGGACAUCAGGAGGUUAGUGCAAUGGCAUAAGCCAGCUUGACUGCGAGCGUGACGGCGCGAGCAGGUGCGAAAGCAGGUCAUAGUGAUCCGGUGGUUCUGAAUGGAAGGGCCAUCGCUCAACGGAUAAAAGGUACUCCGGGGAUAACAGGCUGAUACCGCCCAAGAGUUCAUAUCGACGGCGGUGUUUGGCACCUCGAUGUCGGCUCAUCACAUCCUGGGGCUGAAGUAGGUCCCAAGGGUAUGGCUGUUCGCCAUUUAAAGUGGUACGCGAGCUGGGUUUAGAACGUCGUGAGACAGUUCGGUCCCUAUCUGCCGUGGGCGCUGGAGAACUGAGGGGGGCUGCUCCUAGUACGAGAGGACCGGAGUGGACGCAUCACUGGUGUUCGGGUUGUCAUGCCAAUGGCACUGCCCGGUAGCUAAAUGCGGAAGAGAUAAGUGCUGAAAGCAUCUAAGCACGAAACUUGCCCCGAGAUGAGUUCUCCCUGAGACUUAGAGUCUCCUGAAGGAACGUUGAAGACGAC